UCGACCACAUUGCAUAUGGCCGCCCUCACGCCGCACAUGUGUCCAGUCACAACAUUGCAGAAGAGUUUUCGUUGAACUUGCAAAAAGUUGAGCAAUAAUGGGGAAAGCUCGAAAAGACCGCAAAAGGGGGCCCCGGCACGAUCCUGUUGGCCUGAACGGGAGUGAAUGUGUCGAGGAAGAAUUAAAUGGUUCCAAAGCUUCCGUCAACAAGGGAGAAGCUCUGAUUCAAACUGUCGUUGAUCAGCUCCAGUCCUCCAAUGUCGACGACAAGCUGUGCGGCUUGCACAUGCUCUCUGAGGUGUUCGACGGCCGCACCCUCGAGGAGGUCGUGCGGAACCGCGUCGUCCGCAUGGCCGCCCCGUUACUUGUUGAUCCUAAUUCAACGGUCCGAAACUCUACAGCUGGUGCCAUCAGAAACCUGACGACGAAUGGUGGUCCAGACUUUUGUGACAUUCUCAUUGAGCAGGACGUAAUGACACCUCUCUGUAGUCUGAUUCAAAAGUUUGGAAAUGAGUGGCAGCCAAAAGUCGAGGGGACAUCGAGUGGCGAUGAAGAGGCAGACACAUUCAUCCAAGCUGUCAACAUCUUGUGGAACUUAUGUGAAAGUAGUGCCACAGCCUUAAAAUACUUCAAUCAAGCUCACUUACUGCCUCUACUUGUGAGAUGCCUUGAUAUCAAUACCUUUGGAACAGAUGUCGCAAUCACUGUUGCUGAGUGCUUACAGACUGUGACAGAGGAAAACAAAGAAGCUAUAUCUGAAAUGCAGGGUUUGAGUGAACAACUUCAACAGCUUCUCAGCUCUCCAAAUGAAGAAAUUAAUAUGAUUCUUCUCAAAGUUUUAAUAGCAGGGGUUCUUAUUAAUAUUCAUUCAGACGGAAUUGGUGCAAUGGACCCAAGCCGUUUAUCCCUGAUUAUGGCAUCCCUGUCUACGGCACUAGCUUAUGAUCAACGAAGGAUGUUAAAUCAACUCACAAGUGAACUAGAUCUCAAUAUUCAAAAGCUGAACCCUCGAAAUAGGAGAAGGAAGCAAGAAGAUGUGGAGGAAGAGGAUGAGGAAAUGGACAGUGAAAAUGAAAAAGAGUCUGUAGAAGAAUCAAAACCAACAAAGAAGCUAAAAACUCGAGGAAAAAGCACUCACACACAAGAAAGAACUGAGGGCAUACUGCAGCAAGAAAAGGACUCUAUUUCCAAUGCAGCAAGGAUAUUACAAGCCCAACAAAUUGCUCUUGAAAUUCUUGCAAACCUGUGCUCUGGAGAUGAUGAAGAAGGUGAGAUGGAUCUUGAUGAUUCUGAUGUUGAGGAAAUGAGUGACUCUAGCUUUGGGGAGGAAGGAGGCAGCAAAGAAGCUCUGCCUGCUUCAGUUCCAUCAGAUGUCCUGGAGGCUGUCGUGAGUCAACGUUUAAUAACCAAAGUAUGGGACAAGACCCAGCUACCAGCAGAGAAUGUUUGUGAUAUUCUUUGUGAGGAUCCAGACACCCAGAUACUUUUCAACAGGUUGGGACUCCUUCGCAGCAGAGCCUUUCUUUGCCUUCAAAAUUUGCUGGCAGUCAUGGAUCUGGAAGAGUUGGGUGGUAGCAAUGAUUUGUAUAAUAUGUGGCUUGAGACCACCAAGUUGGUGUUUGAGAAAACAAAGGCUGACGAUUUGCAGUUAUUGGAAGCUGCAACAUCUGUAAUGAGGGCUGCUGUUCUGCGUCUUGCUGAAGCAAAAGCAACGCAGUUCUCCACCCUGACUGAAAAUGAUCUGAAGAUGCUUCUGCAGUGUGAAAGUCAAUGUGAACAUGCUAAUGUUAGAGCAAACCUUAUCCGGAUUGUAAGUUCCAUUGGACAAAUGCUAACCCCUUCUCUCUCUCCGCAUCUAACUGUGAUUGGCAAGUUUCUAAUGGAUGCAGCAGUUCGCGAUGCAGAGCUUUGGGUUACUGCAGAGGCGUUGGAUUGCAUAUUUGACGUUUUUGGAGAAGAUGAAACUGAUAAAGCAGCUUUUGAUAUUGAUUUAGUUAACAGACUUCGGGGACUAGCUCCAGCUUUGAAGAAUAAGGUCCGCCUGCAAAAGAAGAAUUUGGGAGACCAUUACCAUCUUGUUAUGACAGCUAGCAAUAACUUAAAUCGGUUCAUUAAGUAUAAAAGUAAUAGAUUGGCCAGUUUCAAAGCUAUUGGUCAUAGCUAAACUUCUUCCGGACAAAAAAAGAAGGAACAAAGCAAUGACAUCAAAUUUUGACAAGAUUAUCGCAAUGGCACAACUUUUGUAAAUAUUUUGAAUUGUAGGCUGUAUUUAAUUUAAAUAUCCUAUGGCCUCCUCAAUGGAAUAGCAGUUUUGCGUGACCUGUUAAAGUCAUCAAAAAAGGAUUAGCCUCUCUAUCCUUGUUGAAAUUAAAUUAUGAAUUUGAAGUGUAACAGUCUAUGUUACUGUCAUCUUUUAAGAAGCCAAUAAUAGUAUUCAGUAACUUAAAUUAAUGGGAAUACUGUAUGGAACCUUUACCCUGUUAAAGCAUUAGCUCAUGAUCAUUUGAUCUGCUUUAACCACAGAGAGUAUGUGGGGUUUGAAAAUUUUCUGCUAACAUAGAUUACGUUGCUCAAGGGCAUUGUCUUCUUUUAAGUGCAGUAUUGAUCAUUACCUGAUUUUGGGGACCUGUCUCAGAUGGUACUGAAGUCAAGUUAUGGAAUUGUUUUGUUGUGUUUUUUUUUUUCCAUGUUUUCAGUUGUAGUACUCCUACCUAAUGAAUGAAGUUGUCAUAUGUGAAAUAGUAAACCAAUAUAUAUUUCAAUCAUUACCA
rnacentral:misc_RNA from 1 species